rnacentral:rRNA from 1 species
AGUGAACGCUGGCGGUAGGCCUAACACAUGCAAGUCGAACGGCAGCACAGUAAGAGCUUGCUCUUACGGGUGGCGAGUGGCGGACGGGUGAGGAAUAAAUCGGAAUCUACUUUUUCGUGGGGGAUAACGUAGGGAAACUUACGCUAAUACCUCAUACGACCUACGGGUGAAAGCAGGGGAUCUUCGGACAUUGCACGAUUGAAUGAGCCGAUGUCGGAUUAGCCAGUUGGCGGGGUAAAGGCCCACCAAGGCGACGAUCCGUAGCUGGUCUGAGAGGAUGAUCAGCCACACUGGAACUGAGACACGGUCCAGACUCCUACGGGAGGCAGCAGUGGGGAAUAUUGGACAAUGGGCGCAAGCCUGAUCCAGCCAUACCGCGUAGGUGAAGAAGGCCUUCGGGUUGUAAAGCCCUUUUGUUGGGAAAGAAAAGCAGCAGGUUAAUACCCCGCUGUUCUGACGGUACCCAAAGAAUAAGCACCGGCUAACUUCGUG